AGAGUUUGAUUAUGGCUCAGGAUGAACGCUAGCGAUAGGCCUAACACAUGCAAGUCGAGGGGCAGCACAUGAAGUAGCAAUACGGAUGGUGGCGACCGGCGCACGGGUGAGUAACGCGUAUGCAACCUGCCUACAACAGGGGAAUAACCCGUUGAAAGACGGACUAAUACUCCAUAACACAGGGAUCCCGCAUGGGAAUAUUUGUUAAAGAUUUAUCGGUUGUAGAUGGGCAUGCGUUCCAUUAGCUUGUUGGUGAGGUAACGGCUCACCAAGGCAACGAUGGAUAGGGGAACUGAGAGGUUUAUCCCCCACACUGGUACUGAGACACGGACCAGACUCCUACGGGAGGCAGCAGUGAGGAAUAUUGGUCAAUGGACGCAAGUCUGAACCAGCCACGUCGCGUGAAGGAAGACGGCCCUACGGGUUGUAAACUUCUUUUGUAAGGGAAUAAAGUGUAGUACGUGUACUAUUUUGCAUGUACCUUACGAAUAAGGAUCGGCUAACUCCGUGCCAGCAGCCGCGGUAAUACGGAGGAUCCGAGCGUUAUCCGGAUUUAUUGGGUUUAAAGGGUGCGCAGGCGGGAGAUUAAGUCGGCGGUGAAAUUUUGCAGCUCAACUGUAAAAGUGCCUUCGAAACUGGUUUCCUUGAGUGUGGAUGAAGUAGGCGGAAUUUGUGGUGUAGCGGUGAAAUGCAUAGAUAUCACGAGGAACUCCGAUUGCGCAGGCAGCUUACUAAACCAUAACUGACGCUCAGGCACGAAGGCGUGGGGAUCAAACAGGAUUAGAUACCCUGGUAGUC
rnacentral:rRNA from 1 species